rnacentral:tRNA from 1 species
UUUGUUAAAGUGUUUAGCACAUAAAAAUUUGAUUUUUAAAGAGAUAAAAUAUAUCUAACAAAU